AACGCACAUUGCGCCCCUCGGUAUUCCGGGGGGCAUGCCUGUUCGAGCGUCAUUAACCCAAAUCGAGCCACGGCUCGGAGAUUGGGCGUCGGCCCGAGUCACACCAUCCUCUUUCGAGUUUCGGUCAUGCUCGGGCCCGCCUCGAAUCAAUCGGCGAGGUCACCGACCCCCGGCGUGUUAGCGUUUGUCAUAAAAAACACACGACGUCGGGAGCACCGGUAGAGGCCGCAGCCGCUAAAACAGAAAGAUUUAAACAAGGUUGACCUCGGAUCAGGUAGGGAUACCCGCUGAACUUAA
rnacentral:misc_RNA from 1 species